rnacentral:lncRNA from 1 species
UACGUCUCACAAGGUCUGAUGGUUUUAAAAAGGGUAGUUUCCCUGCAGAAGCUCUCUCUUUCUCUGCUUCCAUCCAGCUGAGACAUGACUUGCUUUUUCUUGCCUUCUAACAUGAUUGUGAGGCUUCCUCAGCUACGUGGAAAUAAACUCCUGGAGGGCAGAUGCAUGCCUGCCAUCUUCAUCGUUUCAUUACCACCAUCCAACACUAUCGGGGGACCUGCCCUGAUAAUCAGUCUACAGGUGUAUCCAGCAGCUCCAGAGAGACAGCGACCAGCGAGAAGGGGCCAUGAUGAUGGUGGUGGUUUUGUCAAAAUGAAAAGGGGGAUAUGUAGGGAAAAGAAAGAGAGAUCAGACUGUUACUGUGUCUACAUAGAAAGGGAAGCCAUAAGAGACUCCAUUUUG